rnacentral:rRNA from 1 species
GGAAAGACCCCGUGCACCUUUACUAUAAUUAUGCAUUGUAAUAAGAUUUUUUUUGUAUAGCAUAAGUAGAAGUUUAAGAUGUUUUUACGAAAGUAAAUAGUGUAAACACCAGUGAAAUACUACUCUUAAAAAAUUUUAUUACUAAUUAAAUUAAAGACAAAUGUAUAAUGGGUAGUUUGACUGGGGCGGUCGCCUCCUAAAGAGUAACGGAGGCGUGCAAUGGUAAAUUCAAUUCGAUAAUAUUGCGAAUUUAGAGCAUAAUAGUAUAUAUUUGCCUGAUUGUAAGAUUGACAAAUCGAACAAGGACGUAAGUCGGUUAUAGUGAUCCGGUGAUUCUUAGUGGAAAGAUCAUCGCUCAACGAAUAAAAGGUACGCCGGGGAUAACAGGCUAAUCACUCCCUAGAGACCCUAUCGACGGAGUGGUUUGGCACCUCGAUGUUGGAUUAUCACAUCCUGGAAUUGUAAGUGAUUCCAAGGGUUUGGCUGUUCGCCAAGUAAGGUGGUACAUGAUCUGAGUUCAGAACGUCGUGAGACAGUUUGGUCCCUAUCUACCGUAGGUGUAAGAAAAUUGAAAGAAUUAAACCCUAGUACGAGAGGACCGGGAAAAAUAAAUCAAUGGUGGAUCGGUUGUUAAACCUAUUAGCACAGCCGAGUAGCUACAUUUAUAAUAGAUAAUUGCUGAAAGCAUCUAAGCAAGAAACUAGUCUUGAAAAAAAUUUUCUUUAAAAGAUGUAUUAGACUAAUACAUUGGAUAGGCUUGAUGUAAAAGAAUUGCAAAAUUUUAAGCUAACAAGUACUAAUCUUU